GGAGCGUAUGAACACUUAGAACUGCUAAUUCUGACAACUGAUGAUAAUAUCCUCAGGCCCCUUA
rnacentral:tRNA from 1 species